rnacentral:rRNA from 1 species
AACGAACGCUGGCGGCAGGUCUUAGGCAUGCAAGUCGAACGGGUGAAGCAGGUGCUUGCACUUGUGGAUCUAGUGGCGCACGAGUGAGUAACGCGUGGGAAACUGCCUUGUACAGGGGGAUAACAGUUAGAAAUGACUGCUAAUACCGCAUAAGCGCACAGAACCGCAUGGUUCAGUGUGAAAAACUCCGGUGGUACAAGAUGGACCCGNGUCUGAUUAGUUAGUUGGUGGGGUAACGGCUCACCAAGUCGACGAUCAGUAGCCGGACUGAGAGGUUGGACGGCCACGAUUGGGACUGAGACA